rnacentral:rRNA from 1 species
GGAAUUUUGCGCAAUGGGCGAAAGCCUGACGCAGUAACGCCGCGUGGAGGAUGAAGGCCUUCGGGUUGUAAACUCCUGUCAGAGGGGACGAAAGUACACAAGUCUAAUAGACAUGUGUGUUAGACGGUACCCUCAAAGGGAGCCCCGGCUAAUUCCGUGCCAGCAGCCGCGGUAAUACGGAAGGGGCAAGCGUUGUUCGGAAUCAUUGGGCGUAAAGGGCGCGUAGGCGGUCUCGUAUGUCUGCUGUGAAAGUUCACGGCUUAACCGUGAAGGGUCGGUAGAAACUGCGGGACUUGGGGCUGGGAGAGGCUGGUGGAAUUCCCUGUGUAGCGGUGAAAUGCGUAGAUAUAGGGGAGAACACUCGUGGCGAAGGCGGCCAGCUGGACCAGUCCUGACGCUGAGGCGCGACAGCGUGGGGAGCAAAC